rnacentral:rRNA from 1 species
UCCUGCCCUAUGAUUAGUUAAAUGGCUGCAGUAUCCUGACUGUGCAAAGGUAGCAUAAUAAUUAGUCUUUUAAUUGGAGGCUUGUAUGAAUGGAAUUAUGAGAUAUUUGUUUUAUUUUUAUUAUUUUUGUAAUUUAAUUUUUUUGUAAAAAAGCUUAAUUGUUUUUCUGGGACGAGAAGACCCUAUAGAACUUUAUAUAAUAGUUUUUUUAUUAAAAUUUAGAUUUCGGUUUUAUGAAAUUUUUAUUGUCUUUUGUUGGGGUGACAAAUAAAUUUUACUUUAUUUCUUAUAUUCAUUUUUUAUUGUUUUUUUGAUCCAUUAUUUGAUUUAAAGAUUAAGUUACCUUAGGGAUAACAGCGUAAUUUUAGUGGGGAGUUCAUAUUUAUACUAAAGUUUGCGACCUCGAUGUUGAAUUAAGAUAAUUUCUGGGGGUAG